rnacentral:pre_miRNA from 1 species
AGUGUAUUUGACAAGCUGAGCUGGACACUAAAAGACAGAGUGUCAGUUUGUCAAAUACCCCAA